ACUGCGCUGUGCAGCAGGCGGCCUUUUCCUGCUCUGCACGCGGCGCGGGGCAGAGCACCCAGGCGCUGUGCUGCCGGCUCUUGGCGUUGGUUUACUGUGCGAACCGUGCAGCCCCGGUACGCUCACGCCCAUCAGCUCCCGACUUUCGUUCUGGGAGGCGCUGACCGGGUGCCGAGAGGGCGCUGUGUGGAGUGCGACUCCCCCCCUCCCCAAAGCAGCAUUCGUGCUAAAGGUACUGAUUAAGAUGUAUGUGAUUUGGAGGAAUUCUGUUUCCUGUCUAAGGAUAAGAAAGGUGCUACGUAGAUUCCAAAGUGGUAAUCACCCAGUUGUUCCUCUGGGAUCAAGGAUUUUAACGGACCCAGCCAAAGUUUUUGAACACAACAUGUGGGAUCACAUGCAAUGGUCUGAAGAAGAAGCAGCAGCAGCCAGAAAAAAAGUAGAGGAAAACUCGGCUGUGCGAGUCCUUCUAGAAGAACAAGUUAAGUAUGAGAAUGAAGCUAGUAAAUAUUGGAACACAUUUUAUAAGAUUCAUAAGAAUAAGUUUUUCAAGGAUCGUAAUUGGCUCUUGAGGGAAUUUCCUGAAAUUAUUCCAGUUGAUCAAAAAACUGAACAGAAGUUGCAAGAAUUAUCAUGGGAUCCUGCAAAAACUAGUGCUGCCGAUGGUUUCUCAAGAACACGCUGCCCUCCUGUGCCUGAAGAAAAAAAUCAUAAUCAGAAAAGGUGUGGCUCAUCAGACAGGCAAAGCCAAGCAGGAUCACAGUUUUCCAGCCUAGACUCUGAAGAACACAGAAAAGGACCUCUGAAAACAGAAUUGUUUCCCGGGAGCAACGCCACUUUCAGAAUCCUAGAGGUUGGCUGUGGUGCUGGAAAUAGUGUUUUUCCAAUUUUGAAUACUUUACGGAAUGCUCCAGAGUCCUUUCUUUAUUGUUGUGAUUUUGCUUCCGGAGCUGUGGAGCUAGUAAAGUUGCACUCAUCCUACAGAGCAGCCCAGUGUUGUGCCUUUGUCCAUGACGUCUGUGAUGAGGGCUUACCCUACCCUUUUCCAGAUGGGAUCCUGGAUGUCAUUCUCCUUGUCUUUGUGCUCUCUUCCAUUCAUCCUGACAGGAUGCAAGGCGUUGUAAACCGACUGUCCAAUUUACUGAAACCUGGAGGAAUGCUGUUAUUUCGGGACUAUGGAAGAUAUGAUAAGACUCAGCUUCGUUUUAAAAGGGGGCAUUGCUUAUCUGAAAAUUUUUACGUUCGAGGAGAUGGUACCAGAGCAUAUUUCUUUACAAAAGGGGAAGUCCACAAUAUGUUCUGCAAGGCUGGGUUAGACGAGAAGCAAAAUCUGGUUGAUCGUCGCUUACAAGUGAAUAGGAAAAAACAAGUGAAAAUGCACCGAGUGUGGGUUCAAGGCAAAUUCCAGAAACCAUUACACUUGACUCAAAAAACCUCCAAAUUGAUAUUUUCACUCCUUUCUCAUGGCUGAAUUAUGUACCAUGUUAAGGUACAAACCAGAGGAUUACACUGUACAAAGACUUCCGUAGAUCUUUCAUUUUUGAAAGGACAGUCAGAAGAAAAGAGAAUUUGUAUAUCCUGCUGUUUAUCAUGGGGUGAUUUGUCUUCUACCUGAGGCUGUCCUACUCAACAGAAUGUUUGGCGUAAAGAAUCUGAUAGCUCUCCGUAUAUCUUUAGUUAUGCCCCAGUCCCUCAGAGCCCUUGUGUUUUCCAUCAUGAUGUGUCAAAACGUGUGUAUUUAUUGAUCUUCAAAAACCUGGAAAGAUGAGACACAACUUUAGGAGAAACAUACCCAGAGAAGUACAGGCAGAAAGGGGCAUUGAGCCAGAAGAUUGCCCUCCUUCACCAGUGUGGCAGAGGAAGGUCUGGCUUCUACUUUGCAGAAGGUACAGAUUAGGUAUCAAUAUAGUGUGGUCACCAAGUGAGUGAUUCAUGAUCUGUGAUCCUCUGCAAGAAGAUUAAUGGAAGGCAAAUGAAGAAUACAGGCUAGCAUAGCCUAUGAGACAAGGCUUCAAUGUACAGUCUCUGCCAUUUGGUGAGGUUUGAGAGAGGACCCCAGAGUAAUACCUCUGUGUUCCUGCCCAAACUGUAAACCAGCUGAGAGAAGCUGAUACUGGAGAAAAUGGCUCAGGGGACAUGGGAACAAUUGCCUUCCUACUACUGAGUCCAAGAAUCAAGACCCACAGCUGAACAGCCACAGGACUCUGCUCACGGGGGUCGGCCUCUGCAUAGCCUUGUACAGAGUCACCAGUUUCCAAGAGAAAGUGAAGGAGGACUGGGUUAAAUGUGCCUGAUUCAUUUCCCAAAUUCACUUUCUAUGAGGCACUUCUCCUAGGAAUGAGGAGAGCAGGAUUAAAGAGACCAGGUGGGUCCCUCCACAUGACAAGAAACAACAGGAGUGGGCAAUUACCUAAACCAUUUAUGAGUGCUCAGUCAACCCAUGCCACGUUUACUGGGGCUAGAGCAAUGUGGAGUGGACUCUCCUAUGCUCUUUGUGACUUGCUGAGUAGUCUGCUUAGAGAGAGAGGCCAGCCAGCAGUUUUUCAGCAUUUACCUAGAAGCCUGGGGUCCAUAGGCAUCUGCCUCAGCGAUGGAUGGAAUCUUCAGGGUAUGCACUGACACAUGUAGAUGGUUGGAAUCCUGGGGACUAAAGUCAAAGUGAGUUUCCAAAGGUAUUUCCAGUGACUUAUUCUGGGAACCUUACCAUACUUAAAUCUUUACUAGACUGCUCAAUAAACGGCCGGGAGGCCUAGCAACUCUGUCAAGCACCAUCUCUACAUUCACUUGCAUAACGAAUAACUGGCUCUAGACCAACACUUCUCAAACUACCUGAGGUAAAGAUCCAGUUGUUGCUUUUUGUUUUGUUUUGCACAUUUGCAACCUGUCAUAGACCAAUGCUUUACAAAGAUGAAUUACUAGAAAAAAAGAUGUCCUCCAGUUGCUCUCAUUGUGUUUCCUGCUGUCUGCCCUCUCUCCAGCAAUCUCACCUGAUGAUCUCCCCGGCAGCCAGUGCAUACCAGCUACAUGUUAGGCCCUGCUCUAGGGUUUGGAAAUGAAGGGAUGAGCAGGAAAAAAUAAAGAUGGGCAAUAUACAAGCCCAAGGUUUUUAUUAGAUUCAACAGAUCUUAAUUUAUUUGGUUACUCCACUUACCUUGUCAUGGGCUGGGAAUGAAACAGACCAGCACCUGCCCACAGCCCACACUUGAGCUGCCUGACUCUAG